GACAACGCUGGCGGCGUGCCUAAUGCAUGCAAGUCGAACGAACCCGCAAGGGUUAGUGGCAAACGGGUGAGUAACACGUGGGUUACCUGCCGAGGAGUGGGGAAUAACUCCCCGAAAGGGGAGCUAAUACCGCAUGAUAUCCCGAAGUCUUUCUUCGGAAUCAAAGCCUUACGGCGCUCUUCGAGGGGCCUGCGGUCGAUUAGCUUGUUGGUGGGGUAAUGGCCUACCAAGGCGAUGAUCGAUAGCCGGUCUGAGAGGACGGUCGGCCACACUGGGACUGCGACACGGCCCAGACUCCUACGGGAGGCAGCAGCAAGGAAUAUUGCGCAAUGGGCGAAAGCCUGACGCAGCGACGCCGCGUGGGUGAUGAAGGCCUUCGGGUCGUAAAACCCUUUUGCUGGGGAAGAUACGGACGGUACCCAGCGAAUAAGCCCCGGCUAACUACGUG
rnacentral:rRNA from 1 species